rnacentral:tRNA from 1 species
ACCUGGGUGGCUCAGUUGGUUAAGCGUCUGACUUCGGCUCAGAUCAUGAUCUCACAGUUUGUGGGUUCAAGCCCCGCAUCAGGCU